UUACUUUUACGUUCGUGACACUCCACGCGAUGAUUGUCCAGAAACUCUGCCGGAGGUGCAGAUGUCAUUGAGGUCAAGAGGACCACAAGAAGAUCUGAGCCUAUCAGAGUUUCAAGUUGAACUGAUCCAGCUUGCAUCACAGCUUAAUGGUGAUUACAUCUUAAAUACUUACCCAGAUAUUGGCAAAAGCAUGACAGUGGGUGAAGGCAACAGAUACGCUGAGGAUGCAGUUAGGAGGUUCCUAGAAGCUGGAAGGACUGCUCUUAGAGCUGGAGCCAAUGAAUCUGCAAUUGUAACAAUGAGACCUUCCCUUUCAAGCCGAAUUCCUGUAGGAGACCGUGAUAGCUACGUAAAAGCCUAUUAGUUCCUUAUGGAAGUAUCAGUUGUAAAUACUAAUUUGAAUGCAAUUAAUGUUGUAUGUAUACAUGGAACCUUGUGAUUAUAAGAAGGCCUUUAUGGUUGACUA
rnacentral:misc_RNA from 1 species